GUGGGUAGUUUGACUGGGGCGGUCUCCUCCUAAAGAGUAACGGAGGAGCACGAAGGUUGGCUAAUCCUGGUCGGACAUCAGGAGGUUAGUGCAAUGGCAUAAGCCAGCUUGACUGCGAGCGUGACGGCGCGAGCAGGUGCGAAAGCAGGUCAUAGUGAUCCGGUGGUUCUGAAUGGAAGGGCCAUCGCUCAACGGAUAAAAGGUACUCCGGGGAUAACAGGCUGAUACCGCCCAAGAGUUCAUAUCGACGGCGGUGUUUGGCACCUCGAUGUCGGCUCAUCACAUCCUGGGGCUGAAGUAGGUCCCAAGGGUAUGGCUGUUCGCCAUUUAAAGUGGUACGCGAGCUGGGUUUAGAACGUCGUGAGACAGUUCGGUCCCUAUCUGCCGUGGGCGCUGGAGAACUGAGGGGGGCUGCUCCUAGUACGAGAGGACCGGAGUGGACGCAUCACUGGUGUUCGGGUUGUCAUGCCAAUGGCACUGCCCGGUAGCUAAAUGCGGAAGAGAUAAGUGCUGAAAGCAUCUAAGCACGAAACUUGCCCCGAGAUGAGUUCUCCCUGAGACUUUAAGUCUCCUGAAGGAACGUUGAAGACGACGACGUUGAUAGGCCGGGUGUGUAAGCGCAGCGAUGCGUUGAGCUAACCGGUACUAAUGAACCGUGAGGCUUAACCUU
rnacentral:rRNA from 3 species